UACGUAGGGUGCAAGCGUUAAUCGGAAUUACUGGGCGUAAAGCGUGCGCAGGCGGUGAUGUAAGACAGAUGUGAAAUCCCCGGGCUCAACCUGGGAACUGCAUUUGUGACUGCAUCGCUGGAGUACGGCAGAGGGGGAUGGAAUUCCGCGUGUAGCAGUGAAAUGCGUAGAUAUGCGGAGGAACACCGAUGGCGAAGGCAAUCCCCUGGGCCUGUACUGACGCUCAUGCACGAAAGCGUGGGGAGCAAACAGGA
rnacentral:rRNA from 1 species